UACGGGGGGAGCAAGCGUUGUUCGGAUUUACUGGGCGUAAAGGGCGCGUAGGCGGCCUGUGCAAGUCAGUUGGGAAAUCUCCGGGCUUAACUCGGAACGGUCAACUGAUACUGCUCGGCUAGAGUGCAGAAGGGGCAACUGGAAUUCUUGGUGUAGCGGUGAAAUGCGUAGAUAUCAAGAGGAACACCUGCGGCGAAGGCGGGUUGCUGGGCUGACACUGACGCUGAAGUGCGAAAGCUAGGGGAGCGAACGGG
rnacentral:rRNA from 1 species